GAUAAACGCUGGCGGCGUGCCUAAUACAUGCAAGUCGAGCGAACGGACGAGAAGCUUGCUUCUCUGAUGUUAGCGGCGGACGGGUGAGUAACACGUGGAUAACCUACCUAUAAGACUGGGAUAACUUCGGGAAACCGGAGCUAAUACCGGAUAAUAUUUUGAACCGCAUGGUUCAAAAGUGAAAGACGGUCUUGCUGUCACUUAUAGAUGGAUCCGCGCUGCAUUAGCUAGUUGGUAAGGUAACGGCUUACCAAGGCAACGAUGCAUAGCCGACCUGAGAGGGUGAUCGGCCACACUGGAACUGAGACACGGUCCAGACUCCUACGGGAGGCAGCAGUAGGGAAUCUUCCGCAAUGGGCGAAAGCCUGACGGAGCAACGCCGCGUGAGUGAUGAAGGUCUUCGGAUCGUAAAACUCUGUUAUUAGGGAAGAACAUAUGUGUAAGUAACUGUGCACAUCUUGACGGUACCUAAUCAGAAAGCCACGGCUAACUACGUGCCAGCAGCCGCGGUAAUACGUAGGUGGCAAGCGUUAUCCGGAAAUAUUGGGCGUAAAGCGCGCGUAGGGCGGUUUUUUAAGUCUGAUGUGAAAGCCCACGGCUCAACCGUUGGAGGGUCAUUGGAAACUGGAAAACUUGAGUGCAGAAGAGGAAAGUGGAAUUCCAUGUGUAGCGUUGAAAUGCGCAGAGAUAUGGAGGAACACCACUGGCGAAGGCGACUUUCUGGUCUGUAACUGACGCUGAUGUGCGAAAGCGUGGGGAUCAAACAGGAUUAGAUACCCUGGUAGUCCACGCCGUAAACGAUGAGUGCUAAGUGUUAGGGGGUUUCCGCCCCUUAGUGCUGCAGCUAACGCAUUAAGCACUCCGCCUGGGGAGUACGACCGCAAGGUUGAAACUCAAAGGAAUUGACGGGGACCCGCACAAGCGGUGGAGCAUGUGGUUUAAUUCGAAGCAACGCGAAGAACCUUACCAAAUCUUGACAUCCUUUGACAACUCUAGAGAUAGAGCCUUCCCCUUCGGGGGACAAAGUGACAGGUGGUGCAUGGUUGUCGUCAGCUCGUGUCGUGAGAUGUUGGGUUAAGUCCCGCAACGAGCGCAACCCUUAAGCUUAGUUGCCAUCAUUAAGUUGGGCACUCUAAGUUGACUGCCGGUGACAAACCGGAGGAAGGUGGGGAUGACGUCAAAUCAUCAUGCCCCUUAUGAUUUGGGCUACACACGUGCUACAAUGGACAAUACAAAGGGCAGCGAAACCGCGAGGUCAAGCAAAUCCCAUAAAGUUGUUCUCAGUUCGGAUUGUAGUCUGCAACUCGACUACAUGAAGCUGGAAUCGCUAGUAAUCGUAGAUCAGCAUGCUACGGUGAAUACGUUCCCGGGUCU
rnacentral:rRNA from 1 species